ACGAAUGCGACGAUCAGGAGAAGUACGUCAGGUUACACGUUUACAGAGAGGAUGGUGGGGUGAGAGCCAUCCAGCGUGCCCUGUUCGGAAAUGCACCUGUGAGCAGUGAGCUGAACAUGUCGAACUCUUCGGACGACACCAGUAGGUGACAUCGGUUCCCGCCGUUAUCGGGAAGUAGAGCGAGAUCGUUUGUCUGGCCGUUUUUAGCCAGAGGACACAGCGAUCUAAGCAGAGUGGAACCGCGGUAUAACCCGUCUCUGUC
rnacentral:ncRNA from 1 species